rnacentral:rRNA from 2 species
CAUAUCAAUAAGCGGAGGAAAAGAAACCAACAGGGAUUGCCCCAGUAACGGCGAGUGAAGCGGCAACAGCUCAAAUUUGAAAUCUGGCCUUGUGCCCGAGUUGUAAUUUGUAGAGGAUGCUUUUGGCGACGCGCCUUCCGAGUUCCCUGGAACGGGACGCCAUAGAGGGUGAGAGCCCCGUCCGGUCGUGCGCCUAGCCUCUGUAAAGCUCCUUCGACGAGUCGAGUAGUUUGGGAAUGCUGCUCUAAAUGGGAGGUAUACGUCUUCUAAAGCUAAAUACCGGCCAGAGACCGAUAGCGCACAAGUAGAGUGAUCGAAAGAUGAAAAGCACUUUGAAAAGAGGGUUAAAUAGUACGUGAAAUUGCUGAAAGGGAAGCGCUUAUGACCAGACUUGGGCGCGGCGGAUCAUCCGGCGUUCUCGCCGGUGCACUCCACCGCCCCAGGCCAGCAUCAGUUCGCGCCGGGGGAUAAAGGCUUCGGGAAUGUGGCUCCUCCGGGAGUGUUAUAGCCCGUUGCGUAAUACCCUGGUGCGGACUGAGGUCCGCGCUCUGCAAGGAUGCUGGCGUAAUGGUCAUCAGUGAUCCCCCCUC